AAGUUAAUGACGGUACCUUGAUAAGAAGCACCGGCUAACUACGUGCCAGCAGCCGCGGUAAUACGUAGGGUGCGAGCGUUAAUCGGAAUUACUGGGCGUAAAGCGAGCGCAGGCGGUUCUGUAAGUCAGAUGUGAAAUCCCCGGGCUCAACCUGGGAACUGCGUUUGAAACUACAGGGCUAGAGUAUGGGAGAGGGGGGUAGAAUUCCACGUGUAGCAGUGAAAUGCGUAGAGAUGUGGAGGAAUACCAAUGGCGAAGGCAGCCCCCUGGCCUAAUACUGACGCUCAUGCUCGAAAGCGUGGGGAGCAAACAGGAUUAGAUACCCUGGUAGUCCACGCCCUAAACGAUGUCUACUAGUUGUUGGUGGAGUAAAAUCCAUUAGUAACGCAGCUAACGCGUGAAGUAGACC
rnacentral:rRNA from 1 species